rnacentral:lncRNA from 1 species
AUCCCAGCACUUUGGGAGGCCAGGGCAGGCAGAUCACCUGAGGUCAGGAGUUUGAGACCAGCCUGGGCAACAUGGUGAAACCCCAUCUCUACUAAAAAUACAAAAAUUAGCUGGGUGUGGUGGCACGCGCCUGUAAUCCCAGCUACUUGGGAGGCUGAGGCAGGAGAAUCGCUUGAACCCGGGAGGCAGAGGCUGCAGUGAGCUGAGAUAGCACCACUACAUUCCAGCCUGGGCAACAGAGUGAGACUCUGUCUCAAAAAAAGAAAAAAGAAAAGAAACUUGGAAGCCAUUUCAGAAAGACUCCAGGAAGGCCAGCAGCCACUCCUGCACAACCAGGGGGAAGGGCUACAUUUUACUGCAAGCAGCUGUUUUCUCUGAUCCUUCUUUGUAAGGAAGUGCAGUGAUUUUGUGUUUUGAAGGAAGACUUGAAGAAGCAGUUGGGUAGGUAUUCCAAUAGGACUGAUGGGGAGGAAAUCAGAUACUCCAUGAGAAGGAUUUCAGACCUGGUAGAGUCAGAAUACAUUCUGCUUUCAGGAUUUUUGAGAUUGCUGAUGGUCCCAGGGUUUAUACAAGGACUUGGAUCUGGCUAUAGAAACUCAGGUAGAAAUUACAUGUAUGCAGAUCAGCACUGAUGUUGGUUCUAAUCUAUAAUGAUGUGAUAAAUUAAAAAAACAAAACAAAAAACAGGGCUGGGCAUGGUGGCUUACACUAUAAUCCCAGUACUUUGGAAUGCCAAGGCAGGAGCAUCAUCUGAACCCAGGAUUUCAAGUCCAGCCUAGGCAACAUAGUGAGAUCAUGUCUCUACAAAAAAUACAAAAAAAAUUAGCCUGUUGUGGUGGCACACAGUUGUACUCCCAGCUACAAGCUGAGGCUGAGGCAAAAGGAUCACUUGUGCCCAGGAGUUUGAGGCUGCAGUGAACUAUGAUCAUGCCACUGUACUCCAGCCUGGGUGACAGAGCCAGACCCUGUCUCUCCUUAACAAAAAAAAGUAGAGCCAGAUGUAUCUUUUUGGGUCCCAGGCAGGAGACUGGAGAAUCUGGGUCACUGUAAUCUGGCAGACUGGCUGCAUUUUGUGAGGGUACUUUUAUUCAUAUUUAUUUAUUUUUGUUUGUUUGAAUGCAUUAUUAUUUUUUUAAUAGAAACCACAUCACUUCAUUUGUUACAGCGAAUAAUUCAAGAGGGUCCCAGAAAGCUUUUUCAUCCACAGAAUUACAGAAAGGAUAAGCACCCUCACCACCCAAGCCUUUGGUUCAUUUUUUAUUUUUUCAAGACGGAGUCUUGCUCUGUCACCCAGGCUGGAGUGUGGUGGCGCGAUCUCAGCUUACUGCAACCUCCAUCUCCCGGUUUCAAGCGAUUCUCCUGCCUCAGCCUCCUGAAUAGCUGGGAUUACAGGCACGCGCCACCAUGCCCGGCUAAUUUUUGGAUUCUUAGUAGAGACGGGGUUUCACCAUGUUGGCCAGGCUGGUCUCGAACUCUUGACCUCGUGAUCCAUCCGCCUCGGGCCUCCCAGAGUGCUGUGAUUACAGUCGUGAGCCACCACACCCGGCCUGUCUUUAAGUUUUAUACUAGUUAGGAGGCUAG